GGCCCUUGGGUCUCCUGGCCUGGCUACCAACAUGCCUGUGGCUUCUCAUUGGGCCCCGUGAGUGCUGGCAGGGCUGUGAAGCAGGUGUGACUCAUGGGUCAGCCCCCUGCUGGGACUGUGACCCUGAAGCUAACAAACCUAAGGGCAAGGCCAGCCGCAGCAGCUUUCUGAGUCUCUUCUGAAGUGGCUUGAAGUCGAUACUGUGUGUGUAUGUAAGAUCCAGCCUCAAGGAAGGCGCUUUGUUCAGUUGCUAACUUAUUUUCUUGGUGACCAACUGGACCUUCCCUUUCUUGGUUCAAAUCUGCAAGACUCUUCUUCCUUGGUCACACUGGACAAUUGGCUUGUUAGAGCUGCGGUCAGGGGAACCUGAGAGAGACUCACCCUGCGAAGAAGACAAAGGCCAUGGUGCUGAUGGUGGUGGUGCAGGUAUCCUGAGAUGGCCAGAGCUCAAAGAAGUUCAUGUCAAGAGGACACACAAAGAAGGCAGCCACCUGCAAGCCAGGAAGAGAGCCCUCACCAGGGACCAAAAUGGCCAGUGCCUUGAUUUUGGACUUCAGCCUCCAGGAGAGUAAGAAAUAAAUUUCUGUGUCUUAAGC